rnacentral:misc_RNA from 1 species
CCGAGUGUUAGAGCCCUCGUGGUUCUUACCUCCCGUCCUAUGUUUAACUACCUCUGUUGCUUCGGUAAGCCUGUUCCUGGGGGCGACCCCUGGAACUACCGGGCCCCUGACCGGGUCUGGUUCGGCUGCUUACCGAUAGCCCCCAACCACCAUUCUUGAUCACUGGCAUGUCUGUCUAAUUAUGUGAGAUUGAAUAAAACA